ensembl:snRNA U2 U2 spliceosomal RNA
AUAAAACUCAGAGAUUUUUACUCUGAAUAAAAAUCUGUUCUUAUCAGUUUAAUAUCCGAUACGUCCCCCAUCCGGGGACUACAUAUUAAAUUAAUUUUUGGAUUACAGAUCUGGAGCAGGGGCUUUCUCUGUCCACUCCAGUAAUGGUGUGCUUCCCCUUUUUGGGGAUUGCCACUUAUUGUAU